rnacentral:rRNA from 1 species
CCGUCAGUAGGUUGGUCGUGCCACCGGUACGUACUGGUCUCACUGAUUCCUCCUUCCUGAAGAACCGUAAUGCCAUUAAUUUGGUGUUGCGGGGAAACAGGACUGUUACUUUGAAAAAAUUAGAGUGUUUAAAGCAAGCUAACGCUUGAAUACAAUAGCAUGGAAUAAUGAAAUAGGACGAUCGAUCCUAUUUUGUUGGUUUCUAGGAUUGACGUA